rnacentral:lncRNA from 1 species
AGACGGGAAGAACUACCAUUAAAAGACACCCCGGAACCGCCUUUCUCGGCCAGGAUCGGAACAUCUGCCGACCCUAGCACGCCGCUCCCAGGCCGGAUCCCAGACCCCAGCAGGGCUCUCGAAUCCGGCACUCCAAAACCUACAAGCGUAUCUUCGCGUCCCAUUGAGCGGUUCCCCAUGUGGAGCCAGGCCUGCAACCCGCCAAGCUGGUUCGACCGUUGGGGGAGAGGCUGCUCGAUUACUCCGGAGCGCCCAACUAAUUUUUCGACGCUCAACUAAUUUUGCCUGCGCGGCCUACAGGCUCGCAGUGCGCGUGCGCAGCUGGAGCGCGAAGAUAGCGGCGCGCAUGGGCGGCGAAUUCAACCGCCUUGAAUGUGGCAGCUGGUGAGUGUCCUGGCCUUAGGGUUUCCUUUGCCCUUUUAAAUAAAGCACAGUGCGUUUCGACAA